rnacentral:rRNA from 1 species
AUUGAACGCUGGCGGCAGGCCUAACACAUGCAAGUCGAAUGGUAACAGGAAACAGCUUGCUGUUUCGCUGACGAGUGGCGGACGGGUGAGUAAUGUCUGGGAAACUGCCUGAUGGAGGGGGAUAACUACUGGAAACGGUAGCUAAUACCGCAUAACGUCGCAAGACCAAAGAGGGGGACCUUCGGGCCUCUUGCCAUCAGAUGUGCCCAGAUGGGAUUAGCUAGUAGGUGGGGUAACGGCUCACCUAGGCGACGAUCCCUAGCUGGUCUGAGAGGAUGACCAGCCACACUGGAACUGAGACACGUUCCAGACUCCUACGGGAGGCAGCAGUGGGGAAUAUUGCACAAUGGGCGCAAGCCUGAUGCAGCCAUGCCGCGUGUAUGAAGAAGGCCUUCGGGUUGUAAAGUACUUUCAGCGGGGAGGAAGGGAGUAAAGUUAAUACCUUUGCUCAUUGACGUUACCCGCAGAAGAAGCACCGGCUAACUCCGUG